GCUCCGCAGGCAUUCAGGGGAAAGGGGUGGGGAUGCAGGAAGGAGGCUCAGCCCAGAGGGCGGGGCCAAGAUCCUGAUUGGAGGAAAUCAAGGUGAGCGCGCUGCUACAAACUGGGCCCCUAUUUCUAGUUGGUGGCCAAACAUUUUGCCUGGGGCUGGGCCUGGGGCUGGGCCCGGGGCUGGGCCCGGGGCUGGGCCUGGGGCUUUGCCCGGGGCUGGGUCUAGGGCUGGGUCCAGGGCUGGGCCGCGGACUGGGCCUCGGACUGGGCCUCGGACUGGGCCUCGGACUGGGCCUCGGACUUGGCCUCGGAUUGGGCCGAGGAUUGGGCAGAGGCACGGGCCUACUGAUGGGCCUCCUGCUCGUGCCAGGUCGCCGCCGAGGUCUGCUUUGGCGGUUUCCACAUUCACGCAUCAGCCCGUUCACUGCGUCCGGGAGAAAACAGCUGGCGAGGCUCGGUUCCCCCCCACUCUCCGCCGGGAAGAGCAUGGCUUCGGGCGGCCCUGCGCAGAGAACGCAGAUGUGGACCCUCGGAAAGGAUGGUGACAGACAACUCUAAUACCAGCCCUUGGCAGGCAGAGGCAGGAGGAUCACUGCAAGUACAAGGGCAGCUUGUGCUCCAGAGCGAGGUCACAGCGACCUGAACCACACAGAAGGCACAGCCUCAAAAACAAUCCUUGGUAAGUUGCCCAGGCUAGACUUGAAUUCAAGAUGUUCCUGACUCCCUCAGGAGGACCUGGGCUGACAGGCACAGACAACUGCUCCAUGCUACUCUGUCAUGUUUUCUAGCCUUCUCUCUCACUUUUAUUUCCCAGUACUGGCUAUGGAACUCAGGACCUUUCGCUUGCCAGGCAGGUGCAACUGAACUGCAUUCCUGGCCCUCUAUCGUUCUCUCUCUUCUCUAACCAUCUAAAAAAUGAUUCAACAG
rnacentral:lncRNA from 1 species